AGUGAACGCUGGCGGUAGGCCUAACACAUGCAAGUCGAACGGCAGCACAGUAAGAGCUUGCUCUUACGGGUGGCGAGUGACGGACGGGUGAGGAAUACAUCGGAAUCUACUUUUUCGUGGGGGAUAACGUAGGGAAACUUACGCUAAUACCGCAUACGACCUACGGGUGAAAGCAGGGGAUCUUCGGACCUUGCGCGAUUGAAUGAGCCGAUGUCGGAUUAGCUAGUUGGCGGGGUAAAGGCCCACCAAGGCGACGAUCCGUAGCUGGUCUGAGAGGAUGAUCAGCCACACUGGAACUGAGACACGGUCCAGACUCCUACGGGAGGCAGCAGUGGGGAAUAUUGGACAAUGGGCGCAAGCCUGAUCCAGCCAUACCGCGUGGGUGAAGAAGGCCUUCGGGUUGUAAAGCCCUUUUGUUGGAAAAGAAAAGCAGCAGGUUAAUACCCCGCUGUUCUGACGGUACCCAAAGAAUAAGCACCGGCUAACUUCGUG
rnacentral:rRNA from 1 species